AUCAGAUGGUAGGGCGGUUAGGAGCGGGAGCAUGGCGUCUGUCCGAGUGUGAAUGCGCGUGCGAGGUUGUCCUAAAAGACCCUACUGAAACAGCCUUCCAGUUCAUGAUGUUCAGUGCUAUAGACUUGUGUUUUAAUUCCACAAACUUUCCAAUAUACGCAAAUACAAUCAGUGUCUAGUCUGAUGUCUGUGAGAGAGACAGAGAUAUUGAAGCACACACAAAGACACUGUCUUUCCAGUCCAGCUGUGAGAGACUCCUG